rnacentral:tRNA from 1 species
UCCCCUGCAGUUCAGUAGUUAGGACUCAAUACUUUCACUGCUGUAGGCUCAGGUUCAAUUCCUAGUUGGGGAA